rnacentral:rRNA from 1 species
CAGUCGCCACGGUAAUACCGAGGAUGCAAGCGUUAAUCGGAAUUAUUGGGCGUAAAGGGUGCGUAGGCGGCCCCGCAAGUCAGGCGUGAAAUUCCCGGGCUCAACCUGGGGGCUGCGUUUGAUACUUGGUUGCUUGAGUGGGGAAGAGGGUCGUGGAAUUCCCAGUGUAGAGGUGAAAUUCGUAGAUAUUGGGAAGAACACCGGUGGCGAAGGCGGCGACCUGGUCCUUUACUGACGCUGAGGCGCGAAAGCGUGGGGAGCAAACAGGAUUAGAGACCCGCGUAGUCCCUGUCUCUUAUAC